UCGGGAAUUUUGGGCAAUGGGCGAAAGCCUGACCCAGCAACGCCGCGUGAAGGAUGAAGUAUUUCGGUAUGUAAACUUCGAAAGAAUAGGAAGAAUAAAUGACGGUACUAUUUAUAAGGUCCGGCUAACUACGUGCCAGCAGCCGCGGUAAUACGUAGGGACCAAGCGUUGUUCGGAUUUACUGGGCGUAAAGGGCGCGUAGGCGGCAAUUCAAGUCAUCUGUGAAAUCUCCGGGCUUAACUCGGAACGGUCAGAUGAUACUGCUUUGCUAGAGUGCAGAAGGGGCAAUCGGAAUUCUUGGUGUAGCGGUGAAAUGCGUAGAUAUCAAGAGGAACACCUGAGGCGAAGGCGGGUUGCUGGGCUGAUACUGACGCUGAGGCGCGAAAGCUAGGGUAGCAAACGGGAUUAGAUACCCACGUAGUCCCUGAGCGGGCUGGCAAGGCGCAU
rnacentral:rRNA from 1 species